CGGGCGCGCGCCUCGGCGCGCGGCUUCUUCGGCCACGAGGGCGGCGUGCUGCACGACCCGGAGACGGGCGUGGCCGUGGUGGUGCCCCCGGGCGCCAUCCGGCGCGGUCGCACCCAGGAGAUCUACUUCAACGUGUGCCAGGACAGCUCGCUGCUGCCGCCGCUCGACGCCAGGAAAGGCGAGACGCUGCUCAGCCCGCUGGUGAUGUGCGGACCGCACGGGCUGCAGUUCGACGUGCCGGUGGAGCUGCGGCUGCCGCACUGCGCCGCCGUCGACCCGCAGAGCUGGAGCUUCGCGCUCAAGUCUUCGGACAGUCCGCGCGGCCGGCCGGACAGCUGGCAGAACGUGCGGCUGACGGCCGACGGCCGCACCAGCCGCGUCGGCGCCGACUGCGUCUCCGUGCUGGUCGACCACUUCUGAUCACCGUCUCUGAGGCACCGUCGGGUGACCGUGGAGCACCUCCGCGGGCCGUGCCAGUCGGCCGUCUCUGAGGCACCGUCGGGUGACCGUGGAGCACCUCCGCGGGCCGUGCCAGUCGGCCGUCUCUGAGGCACCGUCAGGUGACCGUGGAGCACCUCCGCGGGCCGUGCCAGUCGGCCGUCUCUGAGGCACCGUCGGGUGACCGUGGAGCACCUCCGCGGGCCGUGCCAGUCGGCCGUCUCUGAGGCACCGUCGGGUGACCGUGGAGCACCUCCGCGGGCCGUGCCAGUCGGCCGUCUCUGAGGCACCGUCAGGUGACCGUGGAGCACCUCCGCGGGCCGUGCCAGUCGGCCGUCUCUGAGGGUCAUCCACCGUUGCGGCAGGUCGGAUGGUCCCUCGCGGUGGGUCGCCGGUCACUGACAGUGAUUCGGAGGGCGGGGAGGGCGCGCGGUGAGCAGGCGCAGAGGCUGCUCGGGGCCAGUGGACGGUCGGCGGCGACUGGUGGCACUUUGAAGGCUACCACUGGUUAAGGGAGUGGGUGCUGGUUCACAACCCGGGCUGGCUGGCCGGUUUCUGGGAGGCGGGCGCUUCUGUUCCUCAACCCCUAGCCAAGGUUCUCGUCUGCUACACAGUGUUCAGGGACGCAACGGGUAGGGGAAAGGGAGCUGAAGGGGGCUAAGAACAGCUGCACGGAGGCAGCCGGGCGUGACAGAAUCUGACGUCGACCGUCACUGCCGUGAUUCGACACUGAUGAACGCACUUAGAACCAACAACCUAGGCCCAACCAACCGAGGUAACAGAGGCCCAAGCCUGUACAUAGCGGAUGGAGCCCGAUAGAGACGUCAGUUCUUUUCCAGCCCGGCGCCUCGGCCCAGCGCUAGAGGCAUUCCUCAGUCAGGGUGCCCCCCCCCCCCCCCCCCAACUUGCGGAGUCACUGGAAUGAGUGCGCCGCUUCCAUCAUCUUCUCGUUAAAUACAGCAGAGAGAAUCUUUUUGCGAACACGCGAUCCUCUCGGCCGGCUUAGGAAUACGAAAACUGUCAUAAUCCAAAACGUGCCUCCACACACGCUGUCACGAUUUCAUUCGCAGACAUAUUCUCCUCAAUUUGGAGGACCCUCAAGGCACGGUUAUCCGACCUUGGUGCAGUAGAUUUCACAAGUAGAUGACUAGCCGAAGUUGGCCACUAGUUGAUAAGCAGUCGCAUUGGCUAGGCUAGUCGUUGAGUUCCGGCGAGCGCAGUCUGUGUGUUGAGUAGGACCGCUUAAUACUCGCAGCCCUGGAGGCUGUGUACAACGGCAGUGUCAAGAUGCUGGCUCUGAGCUUGCCAUGUCCUGCCUUGUAAUGUGGGGUGACCGGACUGCGGUCGCUCAACCUGAACCAAAACGUUGUUUUUAUUCUUCCGACUGUUGAACGCGAAAAACUAGGUCUGGCGCGAAUGUCAUUUCGCUCGUGCGAGUCCAGGCUCACUUCCAUAGCACCAGGAUGGUGCUGUGCGGGGUCGAGCGCACUGUGCUGGCUUUCGGUCGAUGGAGUUUUCCUCGCAUCUCGACUUGCGGACUGAGCAGACUGAAGCCGCGUGGCGUGUGUCUCAUCAGUUCACGGUAUCCGAGACCGCGCUCAGUUCGUUGCGUGUGCGGGGCUCUGCAGGCUGUUACGACUUCCAUCACCUGAGAAAUCCCCUGAUCGGCUCGCGGGGAGUUCAGAUGAGCUCGGGCUGUUACAGCCGGCCGACCGAACACCGUUCAGUCGCGCGCUGGCAUCGGCGUGAAGCACGCGGCGUUUUGUACCACAGGGCUGGCCUGGAACGGGGCGCUUGAUGAAGGCGAAUGAUCGAUAACCGGUGCGAGGUCUGCGGCGCGGCGUGACGCGCUUGUUACGGGGUCGCAGACCUCAGUUGUAAGCUACCUAGUCGCCAGUAAUGGCUCCCGCACUCCGGGGGCCGCUGUAGAAGUCCGCUCGCACGUCUCCUCCCCUGCCCAUCUAGCGCCGCGCGAUCUGCCAAGUCUUCCGUACGUGUAAUUCUGCAAUAUCGCCUGCAUAUCGAGUCGAGCUGCCGUGGGGAACCUACGCGGACCGCGUUGCGUGUUGACGGCGGCGCCAGCUGGCACUGCUGGUCAGUGGCCGCUCAUGACGGCACUGUUCUGCUCAUCCGCCGCUGCGAGAGGAGUGGCGGCACUGCGCAGCCGCUCUGCCGGCCGCUGUCGGUCGGCGCGACGCCAAAUCGUUACGGACGGGAUGUAAAUGUGGACAGCGGCCGGCGCACAAUGCGUGUUCCGCCUAGUUAUCCGUGGUAGCUGCGCCGUAUAUCCCCCGACGUAUGUCAUAUUAUAUAUGUGAUAUUCGUGCUGCCAUGUAACAUUUGAGUGUCAGGUGGCAUUGUUUUGUGACAUUUCAGUACGGAAUAAAUCAUGUAGCUAUUCA